CGCGUAGGCGGCCCGCUAAGUCGAACGUGAAAUCCCCGAGCUCAACUCGGGAACUGCGUCCGAUACUGGUGGGCUUGAAUCCGGGAGAGGGAUGCGGAAUUCCAGGUGUAGCGGUGAAAUGCGUAGAUAUCUGGAGGAACACCGGUGGCGAAGGCGGCAUCCUGGACCGGCAUUGACGCUGAGGCGCGAAAGCUAGGGGAGCAAACG
rnacentral:rRNA from 1 species